AUACGGAGGGUGCAAGCGUUAAUCGGAAUUACUGGGCGUAAAGCGCGCGUAGGCGGUUCGGUAAGUUGGAUGUGAGAGCCCAGGGCUCAACCUUGGUACUGCAUUCAAAACUGCCAGGCUAGAGUACGGUAGAGGGGGGUAGAAUUCCACGUGUAGCGGUGAAAUGCGUAGAGAUGUGGAGGAAUACCAGUGGCGAAGGCGGCCCCCUGGAUCGAUACUGACGCUGAGGUGCGAAAGCGUGGGGAGCAAACAGGAUUAGAAACCCUAGUAGUCC
rnacentral:rRNA from 1 species